CGUUCCCGGGCCUUGUACACACCGCCCGUCACACCAUGGGAGUUGGUUUUACCUGAAGACGGUGUUCUAACCCGCGAGGGAGGAAGCCGGCCACGGUAAGGUCAGCGACUGGGGUG
rnacentral:rRNA from 1 species